rnacentral:rRNA from 1 species
AUCAUUACCGAGUUAUUCAACUCAUCAACCCUGUGAACUUACCUAAACGUUGCUUCGGCGGGAAUAGACGGCCCUGUAAAACGGGCCGCCCCCGCCAGAGGACCCUUAACUCUGUUUCUUAUAAUGUUUCUUCUGAGUAAAACAAGCAAAUAAAUUAAAACUUUCAACAACGGAUCUCUUGGCUCUGGCAUCGAUGAAGAACGCAGCGAAAUGCGAUAAGUAAUGUGAAUUGCAGAAUUCAGUGAAUCAUCGAAUCUUUGAACGCACAUUGCGCCCGCCAGUAUUCUGGCGGGCAUGCCUGUUCGAGCGUCAUUACAACCCUCAGGCCCCCGGGCCUGGCGUUGGGGAUCGGCGGAGCGCCCCUCGUGGGCGCACGCCGUCCCCCAAAUACAGUGGCGGUCCCGCCGCAGCUUCCAUCGCGUAGUAGCUAACACCUCGCGACUGGAGAGCGGCGCGGCCACGCCGUAAAACACCCCAACUCUUCUGAAGU